UCUUUGGUUAUCUAGCUGUA
rnacentral:ncRNA from 2 species